CCUACGGGAGGCAGCAGUGAGGAAUAUUGGUCAAUGGGCGGAAGCCUGAACCAGCCAAGUAGCGUGCAGGAUGACGGCCCUACGGGUUGUAAACUGCUUUUAUACGGGAAUAACGCGCCUUACGUGUAGGUCUUUGCAUGUACCGUAUGAAUAAGGACCGGCUAAUUCCGUGCCAGCAGCCGCGGUAAUACGGAAGGUCCGGGCGUUAUCCGGAUUUAUUGGGUUGAAAGGGAGCGUAGGCCGCAUGUCAAGCGUGCUGUGAAAUGUCCGGGCGCAACCCGGGCCUUGCAGUGGAAACUGGCGGGCUUGAGUCCGCGGAAGGAAGGCGGAAUGCGUGGUGUAGCGGUGAAAUGCUGAGAGAUGACGAAGAACACCGAUUGCGAAGGCAGCUUGCUGGAGCGGAACUGACGCUGAUGCUCGAAAGCGCGGGUAUCGAACAGGAUUAGAUACCCGUGUAGUC
rnacentral:rRNA from 1 species